rfam:Nematostella vectensis strain CH2 x CH6 NEMVEscaffold_39_Cont6463, whole genome shotgun sequence.
GGCUCAGUGGUCUAGUGGUAUGAUUCUCGCUUUGGGUGCGAGAGGCCAUGUGUUCGAUUCCCGUCUGAGCCC